AGAAACUAACAAGGAUUCCCCUAGUAACGGCGAGUGAAGCGGGAAGAGCUCAACUUUGUAAUCUUGGCUGCUUCGCAGUCCGAGUUGUAGUCUAUAGAAGCAUGAUCCGCGCCGGACCUUGGCCAUGUCUGUUGGAAAGCAGUGUCAAAGAGGGUGAUAAUCCCGUACAUACCAAGGACGACCGUGUGCAUUGUGGUCUGCUCUCUAAGAGUCGAGUUGUUUGGGAAUGCAGCUCUAAUUGGGUGGUAAAUUCCAUCUAAAGCUAAAUAUUGGCGAGAGACCGAUAGCGAACAAGUACAGUAAUGGAAAGAUGAAAAGUAGCCUGCAGAGGCAAUGAAACAAUACGUGAAACCGUUUGUAGGGAAACGAUGGAACCUUUUCACGCUGCAAGGGCUCAACCUGGCUUCGGCCUGGUGCAUUCCCUUGUUUUGCGGGCCAGCAUCAGUUUGCUUUGCGGUAUAAGGGUGAUUGGAACGUGGCUCCCUCGGGAGUGUUAUAGCCUUUCACUGGAUGCCGCGUCGCAGACUGAGGACUGCAGUGCGCCUUUUGGCAUUGCCCCCGGGCAACGAGCACUUAGGAUGCUGGUAGAAUGGGUUUCAACGACCCGUCUUGAAACACGGACCAAGGAGUCUAACAUGCCUGCGAGUGUUUGAGUGUCAAACUCAAGCGCGUAAUGAAAGUGAAUGAAGGUGGGAUCUGUCAAAGGUGCACCAUCGACCGGUCUUGAAGUUUACGGAUGGAUCUGAGUAAGAGCAUGUAUGUUGGGACCCGAAAGAUGGUGAACUAUGCCUGAAUAGGGUGAAGUCAGGUGAAAACCCUGAUGGAGGCUCGUAGCGGUUCUGACGUGCAAAUCGAUCGUCAAAUUUGGGUAUAGGGGCGAAAGACUAAUCGAACCAUCUAGUAGCUGGUUCCUGCCGAAGUUUCC
rnacentral:rRNA from 1 species